CCAGACUCCUACGGGAGGCAGCAGUGGGGAAUAUUGCACAAUGGGGGAAGCCCUGAUGCAGCAACGCCGCGUGAGUGAGGAAGUAUUUCGGUAUGUAAAGCUCUAUCAGCAGGGAAUAGAAAAGAAGGUACCUGAAAAAGAAGCCCCGGCUAACUACGUGCCAGCAGCCGCGGUAAUACGUAGGGGGCAAGCGUUAUCCGGAUUUACUGGGUGUAAAGGGAGCGCAGACGGCAGUGCAAGUCUGGAGUGAAAGCCCGGGGCCCAACCCCGGAACUGCUCUUGGAACUGCGCGGCUGGAGUGCAGGAGGGGCAGGCGGAAUUCCUGGUGUAGCGGUGAAAUGCGUAGAUAUCAGGAGGAACACCGGUGGCGAAGGCGGCCUGCUGGACUGCGACUGACGUUGAGGCCCGAAAGCGUGGGGAGCAAACAGGAUUAGAUACCCCAGUA
rnacentral:rRNA from 1 species